rnacentral:misc_RNA from 1 species
AAAAGAAAGUGUACAAUGAGAGCAGCGCAACUGAAGCGCCUCUGGACGAAUCUCCUGUAGAUGAACAAGUAAAUGAUUUUUUGGCAAAUAUUAAGUUAGACUCUGAAGAUACCUAUUCUAUUCUGUUGUAUGGUGGUGGUGCACUUGUUGCUCUGUGGUUAGCAUUAUCUGUUGUUAUUGCCAUCGAUUCUAUUCCAUUGUUUCCUAAGUUGAUGGAAGUUGUGGGUCUUGGUUACACCAUCUGGUUCACUACCCGCUAUUUGCUAUUUAAGAAAAGUAGGGAUGAGUUGGCUGCUAAAGUUGAAGAGCUUAAGCAAGAUGUCCUUGGAUCCAGCGACAAUUGAUGCGCAGGAUAUACAUACUUUUUAGCAUAAUUUAGUUUUGCUAUUCAAAUAGUUAAAUAGGCUUUCUUGUCAAUAUCUGGUUUUUAUAUGCUAUUCUAUACUUGGUGUUGCUGCAUCGUUGCCUCGAUGGGCCUCAUGCGUAAGGGUGCACAAUAUUUAUAUGGUCUUGAAAAGAAGGCAGUGCAAGUAGGAAAUGGAACUUGAUUAUGAUAGGAAUGGCCUUGGAAAGCAGAACAUAUGCAGUGCUUCUAAUUUUUUUUUUUCAAUAUUGCCAAAUAAAAU